rnacentral:rRNA from 1 species
GACGAACGCUGGCGGCGUGCUUAACACAUGCAAGUCGAACGGAAAGGCCCCUUUGGGGGUACUCGAGUGGCGAACGGGUGAGUAACACGUGAGUAACCUGCCCUUGACUUCGGGAUAACUUCAGGAAACUGGGGCUAAUACCGGAUAGGAAUCCUUGCUGCAUGGUGGGGGUUGGAAAGCUUCGGCGGUUUUGGAUGGACUCGCGGCUUAUCAGCUUGUUGGUGGGGUAGUGGCUUACCAAGGCUUUGACGGGUAGCCGGCCUGAGAGGGCGACCGGCCACAUUGGGACUGAGAUACGGCCCAGACUCCUACGGGAGGCAGCAGUGGGGAAUAUUGCACAAUGGGCGGAAGCCUGAUGCAGCAACGCCGCGUGCGGGAUGACGGCCUUCGGGUUGUAAACCGCUUUCGGCAGGGACGAAGCUUUAGUGACGGUACCUGGAAAAGAAGCACCGGCUAACUACGUG